rnacentral:rRNA from 1 species
UACGGAAGGUGCGAGCGUUAAUCGGAAUUACUGGGCGUAAAGCGCACGUAGGUGGCUUGGUAAGUCGGAUGUGAAAGCCCCGGGCUCAACCUGGGAACUGCAUUCGAUACUGCCGAGCUAGAGUACGAAAGAGGGGGGUGGAAUUCCAGGUGUAGCGGUGAAAUGCGUAGAGAUCUGGAGGAACACCAGUGGCGAAGGCGGCCCCCUGGUUCGAUACUGACGCUGAGGUGCGAAAGCGUGGGGAGCAAACAGGAUUAGAAACCCUUGUAGUCC